UGGCUCAGGACGAACGCUGGCGGCGUGCUUAACACAUGCAAGUCGAACGAAGCUUGAUUACGGAAUUCUUCGGAAAGAAGUAUGAUAUGACUUAGUGGCGGACGGGUGAGUAACGCGUGAGUAACCUGCCUUUCAGAGGGGGAUAACGUUUGGAAACGAACGCUAAUACCGCAUGAAAUAUAUUUAAGGCAUCUUAGAUAUAUCAAAGAUUUAUCGCUGAGAGAUGGACUCGCGUCUGAUUAGAUAGUUGGUGAGGUAACGGCUCACCAAGUCGACGAUCGGUAGCCGGACUGAGAGGUUGAACGGCCACAUUGGGACUGAGACACGGCCCAGACUCCUACGGGAGGCAGCAGUGGGGAAUAUUGCACAAUGGGCGCAAGCCUGAUGCAGCAACGCCGCGUGAGGGAAGACGGUCUUCGGAUUGUAAACCUUUGUCUUUGGUGAAGAAGAAAGUGACGGUAGCCAAGGAGGAAGCCACGGCUAACUACGUGCCAGCAGCCGCGGUAAUACGUAGGUGGCAAGCGUUGUCCGGAAUUACUGGGUGUAAAGGGAGCGCAGGCGGGACAGCAAGUUGGAUGUGAAAUACCGAGGCUUAACCACGGAGCUGCAUCCAAAACUGUUGUUCUUGAGUGAAGUAGAGGUAGGCGGAAUUCCGAGUGUAGCGGUGAAAUGCGUAGAUAUUCGGAGGAACACCAGUGGCGAAGGCGGCCUACUGGGCUUUAACUGACGCUGAGGCUCGAAAGUGUGGGGAGCAAACAGGAUUAGAUACCCUGGUAGUCCACACUGUAAACGAUGAUUGCUAGGUGUGGGGGGUCUGACCCCCUCCGUGCCGGAGUUAACGCAAUAAGCAAUCCACCUGGGGAGUACGGCCGCAAGGUUGCAACUCAAAUGAAUUGACGG
rnacentral:rRNA from 1 species